GAUGAACGCUGGCGGCGUGCCUAAUACAUGCAAGUAGAACGCUGAAGGAAGGAGCUUGCUCUUUCCGGAUGAGUUGCGAGCGGGUGAGUAACGCGUAGGUAACCUGCCUGGUAGCGGGGGAUAACUAUUGGAAACGAUAGCUAAUACCGCAUAACAGUAGAUGUUGCAUGAUAUCUACUUAAAAGGUGCAAUUGCACCACUACCAGAUGGACCUGCGUUGUAUUAGCUAGUUGGUGAGGUAACGGCUCACCAAGGCGACGAUACAUAGCCGACCUGAGAGGGUGAUCGGCCACACUGGGACUGAGACACGGCCCAGACUCCUACGGGAGGCAGCAGUAGGGAAUCUUCGGCAAUGGACGGAAGUCUGACCGAGCAACGCCGCGUGAGUGAAGAAGGUUUUCGGAUCGUAAAGCUCUGUUGUAAGAGAAGAACGAGUGUGAGAGUGGAAAGUUCACACUGUGACGGUAUCUUACCAGAAAGGGACGGCUAACUACGUG
rnacentral:rRNA from 1 species